rnacentral:rRNA from 1 species
UGAACGCUAGCGACAGGCUUAACACAUGCGAGUCGAGGGGCAGCAUAGAAGUAGCAAUACUUGGUGGCGACCGGCGCACGGGUGAGUAACGCGUAUGCAACCUACCUAUCAGAGGGGAAUAACCCGGCGAAAGUCGGACUAAUACCGCAUAAAACAGGGGCACCGCAUGGUGAUAUUUGUUAAAGAAAUUCGCUGAUAGAUGGGCAUGCGUUCCAUUAGGUAGUUGGUGAGGUAACGGCUCACCAAGCCGACGAUGGAUAGGGGAACUGAGAGGUUGGUCCCCCACACUGGUACUGAGACACGGACCAGACUCCUACGGGAGGCAGCAGUGAGGAAUAUUGGUCAAUGGGCGGGAGCCUGAACCAGCCAAGUCGCGUGAAGGGAAAAGAAGGAUCUAUGGUUACGUAAACUUCUUUUGCAGGGGAAUAAAGUGCAGGACGUGUCCUGUUUUGUAUGUACCCUGAGAAUAAGGAUCGGCUAACUCCGUGCCAGCAGCAGC